UACGUAGGGUGCGAGCGUUGUCCGGAAUUACUGGGCGUAAAGCGUGCGUAGGCGGUUGGCUAAGUCAGAUGUGAAAGCCCUGGGCUCAACCUGGGAAUGGCAUUUGAAACUGGCCGGCUAGAGUGUGAUAGAGGAUGGCGGAAUUCCCGGUGUAGCGGUGAAAUGCGUAGAGAUCGGGAGGAACAUCCGUGGCGAAGGCGGCCAUCUGGAUCAACACUGACGCUGAGGCACGAAAGCGUGGGGAGCAAACAGG
rnacentral:rRNA from 1 species